GAGUUUGAUCCUGGCUCAGGACGAACGCUGGCGGCGUGCUUACACAUGCAAGUCGAGCGGAAAGGCCACUUCGGUGGUACUCGAGCGGCGAACGGGUGAGUAACACGUGAGUAAUCUGCCUCUGGCUUCGGGAUAGCCACCGGAAACGGUGAUUAAUACCGGAUAUGACAUCUUCACGCAUGUGAUGGGUGUGGAAAGUUUUUUCGGCCAGGGAUGUGCUCGCGGCCUAUCAGCUUGUUGGUGGGGUAAUGGCCUACCAAGGCUUCGACGGGUAGCCGGCCUGAGAGGGUGACCGGCCACACUGGGACUGAGACACGGCCCAGACUCCUACGGGAGGCAGCAGUGGGGAAUAUUGGACAAUGGGCGGAAGCCUGAUCCAGCAACGCCGCGUGAGGGAUGACGGCCUUCGGGUUGUAAACCUCUUUCAGCACGGACGAAGCGCAAGUGACGGUAUGUGCAGAAGAAGGACCGGCCAACUACGUGCCAGCAGCCGCGGUAAUACGUAGGGUCCGAGCGUUGUCCGGAAUUAUUGGGCGUAAAGGGCUCGUAGGCGGUUUGUCGCGUCGGGAGUGAAAACACCGGGCUUAACUCGGUGCUUGCUUUCGAUACGGGCAGACUAGAGGCAUUCAGGGGAGAACGGAAUUCCUGGUGUAGCGGUGAAAUGCGCAGAUAUCAGGAGGAACACCGGUGGCGAAGGCGGUUCUCUGGGAAUGUCCUGACGCUGAGGAGCGAAAGUGUGGGGAGCGAACAGGAUUAGAUACCCUGGU
rnacentral:rRNA from 1 species